rnacentral:rRNA from 1 species
UACGUAGGGUGCAAGCGUUGUCCGGAAUUAUUGGGCGUAAAGAGCUUGUAGGCGGUUUGUCGCGUCUGCUGUGAAAUUUCGGGGCUCAACCCCGAACUUGCAGUGGGUACGGGCAGACUAGAGUGUGGUAGGGGAGACUGGAAUUCCUGGUGUAGCGGUGAAAUGCGCAGAUAUCAGGAGGAAUACCGGUGGCGAAGGCGGGUCUCUGGGCAGUAACUGACGCUGAGGAGCGAAAGCGUGGGGAGCGAACAGG